rnacentral:rRNA from 1 species
UACAGAGGUGGCAAGCGUUGUUCGGAAUUACUGGGCGUAAAGGGCGCGUAGGCGGCUUGGUCAGUCCCGUGUGAAAUCCCUCGGCUCAACUGAGGAACUGCACGGGAAACUGCCUGGCUUGAGUUCGGGAGAGGGAAGCGGAAUUCCGGGUGUAGCGGUGAAAUGCGUAGAUAUCCGGAGGAACACCGGUGGCGAAGGCGGCUUCCUGGACCGACACCGAAGCUGAGGCGCGAAAGCUAGGGGAGCAAACGGG